rnacentral:rRNA from 1 species
AGUGAACGCUGGCGGUAGGCCUAACACAUGCAAGUCGAACGGCAGCACAGUAAGAGCUUGCUCUUACGGGUGGCGAGUGGCGGACGGGUGAGGAAUACAUCGGAAUCUACUUUUUCGUGGGGGAUAACGUAGGGAAACUUACGCUAAUACCGCAUACGACCUACGGGUGAAAGCAGGGGAUCUUCGGACCUUGCGCGAUUGAAUGAGCCGAUGUCGGAUUAGCUAGUUGGCGGGGUAAAGGCCCACCAAGGCGACGAUCCGUAGCUGGUCUGAGAGGAUGAUCAGCCACACUGGAACUGAGACAAGGUCCAGACUCCUACGGGAGGCAGCAGUGGGGAAUAUUGGAGAAUGGGCGCAAGCCUGAUCCAGCCAUACCGCGUGGGUGAAGAAGGCCUUCGGGUUGUAAAGCCCUUUUGUUGGGAAAGAAAAGCAGCAGGUUAAUACCCCGCUGUUCUGACGGUACCCAAAGAAUAAGCACCGGCUAACUUCGUG